rnacentral:rRNA from 1 species
UACGGAGGGUGCAAGCGUUAUCCGGAUUUACUGGGUGUAAAGGGAGCGUAGACGGCAAUAUUAGUCUGAUGUGAAAGGCCGGGGCCCAACCCCGGGACUGCAUUGGAAACUGUAGAGCUGGAGUGCAGGAGAGGUAAGCGGAAUUCCUAGUGUAGCGGUGAAAUGCGUAGAUAUUAGGAGGAACACCGGCGGCGAAGGCGGCUUACUGGACUGUAACUGACGUUGAGGCUCGAAAGCGUGGGGAGCAAACAGG